ACCUGGUUGGCUUAGUUGGAAGAGUGUGUGACUCUUGAUCUCAGGGUCAUGAGUUAAAGCCUCGUAUUGGGUA
rnacentral:tRNA from 1 species